GCCUUAUGGGUUAGCUCAGUUGGUUAGAGCGUGGUGCUGAUAACGCCAAUGUCACCGGUUUGAACCCUGUAUGGGUGCA